rnacentral:rRNA from 1 species
GCAUGGCUGUCGUCAGCUCGUGUCGUGAGAUGUUGGGUUAAGUCCCGUAACGAGCGCAACCCUUGUCCUUAGUUACCAGCACGUUAUGGUGGGCACUCUAAGGAGACUGCCGGGUGACAAACCGGAGGAAGGUGGGGGAUGACGUCAAGUCAUCAUGGCCCUUACGGCCUGGGCUACACACGUGCUACAAUGGUCGGUACAAAGGGUUGCCAAGCCGCGAGGUGGAGCUAAUCCCAUAAAACCGAUCGUAGUCCGGAUCGCAGUCUGCAACUCGACUGCGUGAAGUCGGAAUCGCUAGUAAUCGUGAAUCAGAAUGUCACGGUGAAUACGUUCCCGGGCCUU